CGGCGAACGGGUGAGUAACGCGUGGAUUAUCUGCCCUGAGGUGGGGGAUAACCCGGGGAAACUCGGGCUAAUACCGCAUAAUACCGAGAGGUCAAAGGGGGCCGCAAGGCUCUCGCCAUGGGAGGAGUCCGCGUUCGAUUAGCUAGUUGGUAGGGUAAUGGCCUACCAAGGCGACGAUCGAUAGCCGGCCUGAGAGGGUGAUCGGCAACACUGGAACUGAGACACGGUCCAG
rnacentral:rRNA from 1 species